rnacentral:rRNA from 1 species
UACGUAGGGGGCAAGCGUUAUCCGGAAUCAUUGGGCGUAAAGCGUGCGUAGGCGGUUUGCAAGGUCAGAGGUGAAAGGUCGGGGCUCAACCCCGGUUAGCCUUUGAAACCGGCAGACUUGAGUACAGGAGGGGAAAGUGGAAUUUCUAGUGUAGCGGUGGAAUGCGUAGAUAUUAGAAGGAACACCAGUGGCGAAGGCGACUUUCUGGACUGUAACUGACGCUGAGGCACGAAAGCGUGGGUAGCGAACAGG